rnacentral:rRNA from 1 species
UGGGGAAUUUUGGACAAUGGACGCAAGUCUGAUCCAGCCAUGCCGCGUGCGGGAGGAAGGCCUUCGGGUUGUAAACCGCUUUUGUCAGGGAAGAAACGAGUUUCUCUAAUACAGAGACUUAAUGACGGUACCUGAAGAAUAAGCACCGGCUAACUACGUGCCAGCAGCCGCGGUAAUACGUAGGGUGCGAGCGUUAAUCGGAAUUACUGGGCGUAAAGCGUGCGCAGGCGGUUAUAUAAGACAGAUGUGAAAUCCCCGGGCUCAACCUGGGACCUGCAUUUGUGACUGCAUAGCUAGAGUACGGUAGAGGGGGAUGGAAUUCCGCGUGUAGCAGUGAAAUGCGUAGAUAUGCGGAGGAACACCGAUGGCGAAGGCAAUCCCCUGGGCCUGCACUGACGCUCAUGCACGAAAGCGUGGGGAGCAAACA